rnacentral:rRNA from 1 species
GAUGAACGCUAGCUACAGGCUUAACACAUGCAAGUCGAGGGGUAACGAGAGGGAAGCUUGCUUUCCUUGCCGACGACCGGCGCACGGGUGAGUAACGCGUAUCCAACCUGCCCCCAACUAGGGAAUAACCUUGCGAAAGUAAGACUAAUACCCUAUAAUUUCCUCAGAUGUCAUCUGACGAGGAAUAAAGAUUUAUCGGUUGUGGAUGGGGAUGCGGCUGAUUAGCUUGUUGGCGGGGUAACGGCCCACCAAGGCAACGAUCAGUAGGGGUUCUGAGAAGAAGGUCACCCGCAUUGGAACUGAGACACGGUCCAAACUCCUACGGGAGGCAGCAGUGAGGAAUAUUGGUCAAUGGGCGGAAGCCUGAACCAGCCAAGUAGCGUGCAGGAUGACGGCGCUAUGGGUUGUAAACUGCUUUUAUACAGGAAUAAAGUUAGCCACGUGUGGUUAUUUGUAGGUACUGUAUGAAUAAGGACCGGCUAAUUCCGUGCCAGCAGCCGCAGUAA